rnacentral:rRNA from 1 species
UAGUGGCGAACGGGUGAGUAACACGUGGGCAAUCUGCCCUUCACUCUGGGACAAGCCCUGGAAACGGGGUCUAAUACCGGAUAACACUCUGUCCCGCAUGGGACGGGGUUGAAAGCUCCGGCGGUGAAGGAUGAGCCCGCGGCCUAUCAGCUUGUUGGUGGGGUGAUGGCCUACCAAGGCGACGACGGGUAGCCGGCCUGAGAGGGCGACCGGCCACACUGGGACUGAGACACGGCCCAGACUCCUACGGGAGGCAGCAGUGGGGAAUAUUGCACAAUGGGCGAAAGCCUGAUGCAGCGACGCCGCGUGAGGGAUGACGGCCUUCGGGUUGUAAACCUCUUUCAGCAGGGAAGAAGCGAGAGUGACGGUACCUGCAGAAGAAGCGCCGGCUAACUACGUGCCAGCAGCCGCGGUAAUACGUAGGGCGCAAGCGUUGUCCGGAAUUAUUGGGCGUAAAGAGCUCGUAGGCGGCUUGUUGCGUCGGUUGUGAAAGCCCGGGGCUUAACCCCGGGUCUGCAGUCGAUACGGNCAGGCUAGAGUGUGGUAGGGGAGAUCGGAAUUCCU